rnacentral:rRNA from 1 species
UGGAACGAGCGGCGGACGGGUGAGUAACACGUGGGCAACCUGCCUGUAAGACUGGGAUAACUCCGGGAAACCGGGGCUAAUACCGGAUAACUCAUCGGAUCGCAUGAUCCGAGGUUGAAAGAUGGCUUCUUGCUAUCACUUACAGAUGGGCCCGCGGCGCAUUAGCUAGUUGGUGAGGUAACGGCUCACCAAGGCCACGAUGCGUAGCCGACCUGAGAGGGUGAUCGGCCACACUGGGACUGAGACACGGCCCAGACUCCUACGGGAGGCAGCAGUAGGGAAUCAUCCGCAAUGGACGAAAGUCUGACGGUGCAACGCCGCGUGAGUGAGGAAGGCCUUCGGGUCGUAAAACUCUGUUGUUAGGGAAGAACAAGUUCCGUUCGAAUAGGGCGGAGCCUUGACGGUACCUAACCAGAAAGCCACGGCUAACUACGUGCCAGCAGCCGCGGUAAUACGUAGGUGGCAAGCGUUGUCCGGAAUUAUUGGGCGUAAAGCGCGCGCAGGCGGUUCCUUAAGUCUGAUGUGAAAGCCCACGGCUCAACCGUGGAGGGUCAUUGGAAACUGGGGAACUUGAAGACAGAAGAGGAGAGCGGAAUUCCACGUGUAGCGGUGAAAUGCGUAGAUAUGUGGAGGAACACCAGUGGCGAAGGCGGCUCUCUGGUCUGUGCUUGACGCUGAGGCGCG